GAUUUGCCAGAGAGUUUGAUCCUGGCUCAGGAACAACGCUGGCGGCGUGCCUAACGCAUGCAAGUCGCGCGGGCCCGCCCUUCGGGGCGGGUCAGCGGCGGACGGGUGAGGAACGCGUGGACAACCUACCCCUGGGUGGGGAACAACCCCGAGAAAUCGGGGCUGAUACCGCAUCCGCUCGCCCCCCCGUGGGGGGUGGCGAGGAAAGGCUUCGGCCGCCCGGGGAGGGGUCCGCGUCCGAUUAGCUGGUUGGCGGGGUGACGGCCCACCAAGGCGACGAUCGGUAGCGGGUCUGAGAGGACGGCCCGCCACAGGGGGACUGAGACACGGCCCCCACUCCUACGGGAG
rnacentral:rRNA from 1 species